GACGAACGCUGGCGGCGUGCUUAACACAUGCAAGUCGAACGAAGAGCGAUGGAAGCUUGCUUCUAUCAAUCUUAGUGGCGAACGGGUGAGUAACGCGUAAUCAACCUGCCCUUCAGAGGGGGACAACAGUUGGAAACGACUGCUAAUACCGCAUACGAUCUAAUCUCGGCAUCGAGGAGAGAUGAAAGGUGGCCUCUACAUGUAAGCUAUCACUGAAGGAGGGGAUUGCGUCUGAUUAGCUAGUUGGAGGGGUAACGGCCCACCAAGGCGAUGAUCAGUAGCCGGUCUGAGAGGAUGAACGGCCACAUUGGGACUGAGACACGGCCCAGACUCCUACGGGAGGCAGCAGUGGGGAAUCUUCCGCAAUGGACGAAAGUCUGACGGAGCAACGCCGCGUGAGUGAUGACGGCCUUCGGGUUGUAAAGCUCUGUUAAUCGGGACGAAAGGCCUUCUUGCGAAUAGUGAGAAGGAUUGACGGUACCGGAAUAGAAAGCCACGGCUAACUACGUG
rnacentral:rRNA from 1 species